AUUGAACGCUGGCGGCAGGCCUAACACAUGCAAGUCGAGCGAGCGGCGGACGGGUGAGUAAUGUAUGGGGAACUGCCCGAUAGAGGGGGAUAACUACUGGAAACGGUGGCUAAUACCGCAUACUAUCGGAUGAACCCAUAUGGGAUUAGCUAGUUGGUGGGGUAACGGCUCACCAGGGCGACGAUCCCUAGCUGGUCUGAGAGGAUGAUCAGCCACACUGGGACUGAGACACGGCCCAGACUCCUACGGGAGGCAGCAGUGGGGAAUAUUGCACAAUGUGCGCAAGCCUGAUGCAGCCAUGCCGCGUGUAUGAAGAAGGCCUUAGGGUUGUAAAGUACUUUCAGCGGGGAGGCGUUACCCGCAGAAGAAGCACCGGCUAACUCCGUGCCAGCAGCCGCGGUAAUAC
rnacentral:rRNA from 1 species